CGCGUAGGCGGCUUUGCAAGUCGGGUGUGAAAUCCCCAGGCUCAACCUGGGAACUGCAUUCGAGACUGCAUUGCUAGAGUAUGGGAGAGGGAAGUGGAAUUUCCGGUGUAGCGGUGAAAUGCGUAGAUAUCGGAAGGAACAUCAGUGGCGAAAGCGACUUCCUGGACCAAUACUGACGCUCAUGUGCGAAAGCGUGGGAGCAAAACA
rnacentral:rRNA from 1 species